CUUCGAAGUCCCGGAGAUCCACUUAUCAGGCGGCUCUCCUGGUGGGUUAGAUUUCUCCCCCACCUCCGUCAUGUUCUCGUCCUGAUCCUCCGUAGUCGAGACUCUAGAAUCGCCGUUCGCCAUCAUCAGAUCUGAAAUCGCACCUCUCUUCUUUUCUUACAAGAUCUGGAAGUUGAUGAUGUGGUUUCUUGGAAUUCGAUGGUUGUUGAGUGUGCUAGAGAUGUAAAGCAGAGUAGAUCAAACAACCUCGUUCUUGAACCAUCGUAGUUAAAUCAACAAUCUUUUUUUUUUUUUGUCAAAUUUUUUUUUCCAACUUUUAUGUUAUAUAUGUAAAAUUUAGGAAUUUUAAUUUAAAAUCAGCGGUCAAAUGAUACUAACAUCAUCACAGUUUGGUAUAAUCCAUGUUCUAAAACGCGUUCUCCGCGGCCGUGUACUCGCCGGAAAACCGUGAGUCUGCUGGUCACCGCCGCGAUUUGAUACUAUUUGCUCAGUUAAUCGCCAAAACUUAUAAGUUCAUUGCUUUAUAGAUUUUAAACUUGACAUCACAUUCUAAGUUAUAGAUUUGUAUUAUUUAGACCAAAACUUACAAAAUUAAUAUGAAAAAGACUGAAAUCGCAAAAAAAUAAAUAAUUAGAAAACAACUGCAGAUUUUGCAGGAAGAAGGUGGAAGACGAGGGCAAUUUUGUCAAUUACCAUUUCAUUUAACCAAAUUCUAAAAAUAUUGUCCAAAAUGUUCAAUGUGACAGUCAAACCCGUGUUGGGUAGGCUAACUAAGCUCAACAAAGACCACUACACCAUGCUUCCAAGACGUGAUACUUAAACUUAUUUAAUAUAUGAUCAUAUACUUAUUUAGAAACCCUAAAAUAACUCUCCGACUAAUCUUCAUAUAAUCUCCGAUUAAUUGAUUACGCGCUAACGUCUGCCGUAGUUUCGAACUGAGAGUAUAAUAUAUGUUUAUUGGGUUGUAGAAUAUAAUAUUUUUAAUGGCAAUAUUUGGAAUUUCUCUAAAAAAUAUAUUAUAUUUUGAAAAUCGUGUGCUAGUGCCACGUCAGUCAGUAAGGGUAAGUUUUAGUAUUGUGAUGACACCUUAGCUUGGUAAUAUGCUAGUAAGGUUGUGUAUUUAAAAUGACUCUCACAUAAUAGAUAGAAAGUUUUGAUUCAAAUUCUAACUUGGUUGUUGAAUAAAUUAGUUUUCAAAUUAGAUGCUUUUCAUUUUAAAUGGAGAAUGGCUAACAUUAUCACAGUAACUGACAUAAAAAUAUGUGUAUAGAAGGCAAAAACAUAACAAUAAAGACAUUCUUUUUAGUCAAACUUCUAUUAAUUUCUAUAGUUUAACAAAUUGGUUAUUUCUAUCUAGAGCAUCCUAUUUAAACCAACAAAUCUAAUCUUUUAUAACACUUCUAUUAAACUUGGAAAUUAGAAUUUAAAUUCAACUGAUAAUGAAUACAUAUUGACUUACCUUACUAUAAAAUCUAUCAGUUUUAAUUAAUUUCAAGAUAUUUUUCCUAUUUGUUUUUCAUGAUUUGUUUGUAUGAGUCAUCUUGUUUAUUAUAUGUUUACUCUCGAUUUCUUUCUAUGUUUUUCAAUUUGUGGUACUUUUGAAAAAUAUCUACAAAUCUAAUUUGUUAUAUAUAAGAUAUUCAUGGAUGCAAUACAACCUCAUCACUGUUCUUUAUUUUAAAGUUUUCACUUUUUGUUGCAUCAUCAAAAAUGGCUAAAUCCACAAUUCUUGCUAUUUUCAUGGUUGUUCUUGUUUUAGGGACGGUGAUGGAGUCACAAGGACAAGAAAUGUGUACUGAUUAUUAUAAAGGAUCAGUAGAUUGCCAAGCUAAACCAUGUAAUGAUCAGUGUGUAGCCAAGUAUAAUGGACAUGGCAGGUGCUUAAACACAAUGUGCGUGUGCACUUAUAUUUGUAAAACUUAAUUUUUAUUUGUUACUAGUAAACUAUCAUCAAAUACAUUUAAAUAAGAAUGUGUGAAAAAGAAUAUCGCAAUUUUCUUAGAACGUGAAUUCUGAUUUCAGCUAUUGGACAUCAUAACAAAACAUGAAUUAUAAAAAACUAGUAAGUAAUGGUAUGUUAGUGGCAAUGUCAUAUUUGAAGCACAACAUGACGUAAAUUCGUUUUUCAGACUCUUUAAAUUAUUUUUUUUUGCUUUUUAACCAGUUUGGAUCUAAGUCCCGACAUUUAGCACGUUAGUCCGGUAACCGACGUGUAGCUACCCAAACUAUUAGUCAAAAAAUAUUUCAAACCCGAAUCUAUUAAUGUGAUAAUCAAAUAUAGCAUUAAGUGCAUUCUUUCUGGAAUCGUCAGAAUCAACCGCUAGAUGCAUCAAAAAAAACAUGAAUUAUAAACCGCAAAUUUCAGCAUAUAUGCCAUAUAGUCAGAUAUAUCGAUCAUAAUUAAAAAAAAAUAACUUUUUCAACAUUAUAGAUGAUGAAAAUGUAAAAGUAUAGUACAAAAUUCAUAAAAAUGUCUAAUAACAAUUAAUUUGUGUAAAAUAUCUAAUAUCAAUUAAAAAUAUCUUAUGCGUUAUUAAGUUAUUGGCUCAAUAGAGAGUGAUGCAGAUGUUGAAUUCGAGAAACUUACGUAUGGCUUCAUAAUUAAGAGUGGUUUUAAGACAAAUAUAUUUGUUCAAAGUGCAGUGAUUGCUAUGUAUGCUAAAUGCAUAGACUUUAAAACUGCAAGUACUAUGUUACAAGAUCUGGAAGUUGAUGAUGUGGUUUCUUGGAAUUCGAUGGUUGUUGAGUGUGCUAGAGAUGUAAAGCAGAGUAGAUCAAACAACCUCGUUCUUGAACCAUCGUAGUUAAAUCAACAAUCUUUUUUUUUUUGUCAAUUUUUUUUUCCAACUUUUAUGUUAUAUAUGUAAAAUUUAGGAAUUUUAAUUUAAAAUCAGCGGUCAAAUGAUACUAAUAUCAUCACAGUUUGGUAUAAUCCAUGUUCUAAAACGCGUUCUCCGCGGCCGUGUACUCGCCGGAAAACCGUGAGUCUGUUGGUCACCGCCGCGAUUUGAUACUAUUUGCUCAGUUAAUCGCCAAAACUUAUAAGUUCAUUGCUUUAUAGAUUUUAAACUUGACAUCACAUUCUAAGUUAUAGAUUUGUAUUAUUUUGACCAAAACUUACAAAAUUAAUAUGAAAAAGACUGAAAUCGAAAAAAAAUAAAUAAUUAGAAAACAGCUGCAUAUUUUGCAGGAAGAAGGUGGAAGACGAGGGCAAUUUUGUCAAUUACCAUUUCAUUUAACCAAAUUCUAAAAAUAUUGUCCAAAAUGUUCAAUGUGACAGUCGAACCCGUGUUGGGUAGGCUAACUAAGCUCAACAAAGACCACUACACCAUUCUUCCAAGACGUGAUACUUAAACUUAUUUAAUAUAUGAUCAUAUACUUAUUUAGAAACCCUAAAAUAACUCUCCGACUAAUCUCCAUAUAAUCUCCGAUUAAUUGAUUACGCGCUAACGUCUGCCGUAGUUUCGAACUGAGAGUAUAAUAUAUGUUUAUUUGGUUGUAGAAUAUAAUAUUUUUAAUGGCAAUACUUGGAAUUUCUCUAAAAAAUAUAUUAUAUUUUGAAAAUCGUGUGCUAGUGCCACGUUAGUCAGUAAGGGUAAGUUUUAUUAUUAUGACACCUUAGCUUGGUAAUAUGCUAGUAAGGUUGUGUAUUUAAAAUGACUCUCACAUAAUAGAAAGAAAGUUUUGAUUCAAAUUCUAAUUUGGUUGUUGAAUAAAUUAGUUUUCAAAUUAGAUGCUUUUCAUUUUAAAUGGAGAAUGGCUAACAUUAUCACAGACAUAAAAAUAUGUGUAUAGAAGGCAAAAAAAAUAACAAUAAAGACAUUCUUUUUAGUCAAACUUCUAUUAAUUUCUAUAGUUUAACAAAUUGGUUAUUUCUAACUAGAGCAUCCUAUUUAAACCAACAAAUCUAAUCUUUUAUACCACUUCUAUUAAACUUGGAAAUUAGAAUUUAAAUUCAACUGAUAAUGAAUACAUAUUGACUUACCUUACUAUAAAAUCUAUCAGUUUUAAUUAAUUUCAAGAUAUUUUUCCUAUUUGUUUUUCAUGAUUUGUUUGUAUGAGUCAUCUUGUUUAUUAUAUGUUUACUCUCGAUUUCUUUCUAUGUUUUUCAAUUUGUGGUACUUUUGAAAAAUAUCUACAAAUCUAAUUUGUUAUAUAUAAGAUAUUCAUGGAUGCAAUACAACCUCAUCACUGUUCUUUAUUUUAAAGUUUUCGCUUUGUGUUGCAUCAUAAAAAAUGGCUAAAUCCACAAUUCUUGCUAUUUUCAUGGUUGUUCUUGUUUUAGGGACGGUGAUGGAGUCACAAGGACAAGAAAUGUGUACUGAUUAUUCUAAAGGAUCAGUAGAUUGCCAAGCUAAACCAUGUAAUGAUCAGUGUGUAGCCAAGUAUAAUGGACAUAGCAGGUGCUUACACACAAUGUGCGUCUGCACUUAUAUUUGUAAAACUUAAUUUUUAUUUGUUACUUAUAAACUAUCAUCAAAUAUAUUUAAAUAUAAA